UAUUGGGCGUAAGCGAGCGCAGGCGGUUUUUUAAGUCUGAUGUGAAAGCCCUCGGCUUAACCGAGGAAGUGCAUCGGAAAACUGGCAAACUUGAGUUGCUAGAAGAGAACAGUGGAACUCCAUGGCGUAGCGGGUGAAAUGCGUAUGAUAUAUGGAAGAAACACCAGUGGCGAAGGCGGCUCGUCCUGGUCUGUAACUGACGCUGAGGCUCGAAAGCAUGGGUAGCGAACAGGAUUAGAUACCCUGGUAGUCCAUGCCGUAAACGAUGAAUGCUAGGUGUUGGAGGGUUUCCGCCCUUCAGUGCCGCAGCUAACGCAUUAAGCAUUCCGCCUGGGGAGUACGACCGCAAGGUUGAAACUCAAAGGAAUUGACGGGGGCCCGCACAAGCGGUGGAGCAUGUGGUUUAAUUCGAAGCAACGCGAAGAACCUUACCAGGUCUUGACAUCUUGUGAUCACCUGAGAGAUCAGGUUUCCCCUUCGGGGGCAAAAUGACAGGUGGUGCAUGGUUGUCGUCAGCUCGUGUCGUGAGAUGUUGGGUUAAGUCCCGCAACGAGCGCAACCCUUAUGACUAGUUGCCAGCAUUUAGUUGGGCACUCUAGUAAGACUGCCGGUGACAAACCGGAGGAAGGUGGGGAUGACGUCAAAUCAUCAUGCCCCUUAUGACCUGGGCUACACACGUGCUACAAUGGAUGGUACAACGAGUUGCGAGACCGCGAGGUCAAGCUAAUCUCUUAAAGACAUGCUCAGUUCGGACUGUAAGCUGCAACUCGCCUACCCGAA
rnacentral:rRNA from 2 species